rnacentral:rRNA from 1 species
ACKGCUCAGUAACACGUCGAUAAUCUGCCCUUAAGCCUGGGAAAACCUUGGGAAACUGAGGCUAAACCCGGAUAGAGAACGAAAGCUGGAAUGCUUCAUUCUUUAAAGGCAACACUUAAGGAUGAGUCGGCGGCGGAUUAGGUUGUUGGUGAGGUAACGGCUCACCAAGCCAAAGAUCCGUACGGGCCAUGAGAGUGGUAGCCCGGAGAAGGACACUGAGAAACUGGUCCUAGCCCUACGGGGUGCAGCAGGCGCGAAAACUUUACAAUGCACGAAAGUGUGAUAAGGGAAUCCUAAGUGCUCAUACACAGUAUGGGCUUUUGCCAAGGGUAAAUACCUUGGAGAAUAAGUGGUGGGUAAGACUGGUGCCAGCAGCCGCGGUAACCCCAGCGCCACAAGUGGGAGCCACAAUUAUUUGGCCUAAAGCGUCCGUAGCUGGCUUGGUAAAUCUUUUGUGAAAUCGGAAGGCUCAACUUUCCGGCGUGCAGAAGACACUGCCUGGCUUGAGACCGGGAGGGGUAAGGAGUAUUCCUAGGGAACCGGUAAAAUGGGAUAAUCCUAGGAAGACUACCUGUGGCGAAGGCGCCUUACCAGCACGGGUUUGACAGUGAGGGACGAAGGCUAGGGGAGCGAACCGGAUUAGAUACCCGAGUAGUCCUAGCAGUAAACGCUGCCGGCUAGGUGUUGCAUCAUCCAUGUGAUUAUGCAGUGUCGUAGCGAAGGCAUUAAGCCGGCCGCCUGGGAAGUAUGGUCGCAAGACUGAAACUUAAAGGAAUUGGCGGGGGAGCAC